rnacentral:rRNA from 1 species
GACCGAAGCCUACUGGGUGCAGCAGGCGCGAAACUUCCGCAAUGCGCGAACUUCUUUUUCUUUCCGAAGAAAAAGACCUUCACUAGAAAAAGAAAGUAAGAAGCUUUCUUUUAGUCGAGGUUUUCUUUCACGAAAGAAAAAGUCGGCGUAAAAGCGUGACGGGGGUAGUCCGAGUGCCGUCCUAACGGACGGCUUUUAGCGAGCCUGAUACGCUCGUUGAAUAAGUGGUGGGUAAAUCCUGUGCCAGCCGCCGCGGUAACACAGGUAGCACAAGUGGUAUCCACGAAUAUUGAGCUUAAAGCGCCCGUAGCCGGCUCGUCAAGUUUCCUGUGAAAUCUUCAGGAUUAACCUGAAGGCGUGCAGGAAAUACUAACGGGCUCGGGAGUGGAGGAGGCAUGGGGUACUGUAGGGGGAGGAGUAAAAUCCUGUAAUCCUUGCAGGACCGCCAGUGGCGAAGGCGCCAUGCCAAAACACGUCCGACGGUGAGGGACGAAGGCUAGGGGAGCAAAUCGGAUUAGAUACCCGAGUAGUCCUAGCAGUAAAUGAUGCAGACUUGGCGUCGCAUCCGCUUCGUGCGGAUGCGGUGCCGUAGGGAAACCGUUAAGUCUGCCGCUUGGGAGUACGGUCGGCAAGGACUGAAACUUAAAGGAAUUGGCGGGGGAGCACCACAAGGGGUGGAUACUGCGGUUCAAUUUGGACUCAACGCCGGGAAGCUCACCAGGAAAGACGGCAGAAUGAAGCUCAGACUGAAGAUCUUAGCCGACAAGCCGAGAAGUGUUGCAUGGCCAGCGUCAGUUCGUGCUGUGAGGUGUCAGGUUAAGUCCUGCAACGAACGAGAUCUCCGCCCACAGUUGCUAACCCAGAAUAAAUUUUGGGUGCACUCUGUGGGGACUGCCUGCGUUAAGUGGGAGGAAGGCGGAGGCGACGCUAGGUCUGUAUGGCCUGAAUUUCCUGGGCCACACGUGGCAUACAAAGAUGCGGACAAUGCGUUCCGACGCCGAAAGGCGAAGGCAAUCGCCCAAACCGCAUCCCAGUUCGAAUUGGGGGCUGUAACUCGUCCCCAUGAAGUUGGAAUCCCUAGUAAUCGCGUGUCAUCAUCGCGCGGUGAAUAUGUCCCCGCUCCUUGCACACACCGCCCGUCAAGCCAUCCAAGCGAGGUUCUAGUGAGGCCGCCGCAUAAUAGCGGCGUUCGA